GACGAACGCUGGCGGCGUGCUUAACACAUGCAAGUCGAGCGAUGAAGCACCUUCGGGUGUGGAUUAGCGGCGAACGGGUGAGGAACACGCGAGGAAUCUGCCUUUCACUUCGGGAUAACUCCGGGAAACCGGGGCUAAUACCGGAUAUUUUCAACUGGCGGCAUCGCCGGUUGAAGAAAGUUUUUCGGUGAAAGAUGACCUCGCGGCCUAUCAGCUUGUUGGUGAGGUAAUGGCUCACCAAGGCGACGACGGGUAGCCGGCCUGAGAGGGCGACCGGCCACACUGGGACUGAGACACGGCCCAGACUCCUACGGGAGGCAGCAGUGGGGAAUAUUGGGCAAUGGAGGAAACUCUGACCCAGCGACGCCGCGUGAGGGAUGAAGGCCUUCGGGUUGUAAACCUCUUUCAGCAGGGAAUAAGCGAAAGUGAAGGUACCUGCAGAAGAAGCACCGGCUAACUAUGUGCCAGCCGCCGCAGUAA
rnacentral:rRNA from 1 species